AUUGAACGCUGGCGGCAUGCUUUACACAUGCAAGUCGAACGGUAACAGGCCGCAAGGUGCUGACGAGUGGCGAACGGGUGAGUAAUGCAUCGGAACGUGCCCAGUCGUGGGGGAUAACUACUCGAAAGAGUAGCUAAUACCGCAUACGAUCUAUGGCUGCAAGCGGGGGACCGUAAGGCCUCGCGCGAUUGUAGCCGCCGAUGUCAGAUUAGGUAGUUGGUGGGGUAAAGGCUCACCAAGCCAACGAUCUGUAGCUGGUCUGAGAGGACGACCAGCCACACUGGGACUGAGACACGGCCCAGACUCCUACGGGAGGCAGCAGUGGGGAAUUUUGGACAAUGGGCGCAAGCCUGAUCCAGCAAUGCCGCGUGCAGGAAGAAGGCCUUCGGGUUGUAAACUGCUUUUGUACGGAACGAAACGGCUCUGGUUAAUACCCGGGGCUAAUGACGGUACCGGAAGAAUAAGCACCGGCUAACUACGUG
rnacentral:rRNA from 1 species